UCCUUAGUUUAUUUAUUUAAGGUCUGGCCUGCCCACUGAAAUUAUUUAAAGGGCCGCAGUAAUUUGACUGUGCAAAGGUAGCAUAAUCAUUAGUUUUUUAAUUGAAAGCUUGUAUGAAAGGUUGGACGAGGUAAAUUCUGUCUCUAUUUAAUUUAUUAUAAAAUUUAAUUUUUAAGUUAAAAAGCUUAAAUUUAUUUAAAAGACGAGAAGACCCUAUAGAUCUUUAUAUUUAUAUUAUUAAUUUUAAUGUAGAAUUUUUUAUUAAUUAAUAGUAAAAAUAUUUUAUUGGGGUAAUAAAAAGAUUAAAAAAAUUCUUUUUGAAAUUAUUCAUUAAUUUAUGUUUAUAUGAUCCAAUUUUUUUGAUUAAAAGAUUAAGUUACCUUAGGGAUAACAGCGUAAUUUUUUUAGAGAGUUCAUAUCGAUAAAAAAGUUUGCGACCUCGAUGUUGGAUUAAAAAUUAUCUUAGGUGCAGAAGUUUAAGAUUUUGGUCUGUUCGACCAUUAAAUUUUUACAUGAUCUGAGUUCAGACCGGCGUAAGCCAGGUCGGUUUCUAUCUUUAUUUAAUUAUUAUAUUUUAGUACGAAAGGACCAAAUAUUUAGUAUAUUUAUAUUUUAUUUUUUGAAUAUUAUU
rnacentral:rRNA from 1 species